AGCAGCCGCGGUAAUUCCAGCUCCAAUAGCGUAUAUUAAAGUUGUUGCAGUUAAAAAGCUCGUAGUUGAAUUUCGGGAUCAAUGUUUCGGUCAUGCCCUUGGUAUGUACUGACAUUAUUGGUUUCUCACCUUCUAAAGAACCGUAAUGCCAUUAAUUUGGUGUCACGGGGAAUUAGGACUGUUACCUUGAAAAAAUUAGAGUGUUUAAAGCAGGCUCACGCCUGAAUACAUUAGCAUGGAAUAAUGAAAUAGGACAUCCGAUUCUAUUUUGUUGGUUUCUAGGAUCGAUGUAAUGAUUAAUAGGGAUAGUUGGGGGCAUUAGUAUUCAAUUGUCAGAGGUGAAAUUCUUGGAUUUAUCGAAGACUAACUACUGCGAAAGCAUUUGCCAAGGAUGUUUUCAUUAAUCAAGAACGAAAGUUAGGGGAUCGAAGACGAUCAGAUACCAUCGUAGUCUUAACCAUAAACUAUGCCGACUAGGGAUCGGAUGAUGUUAAUUUUUUAAUGACUCA
rnacentral:rRNA from 1 species